CAGGAUUAGAUACCCUGGUAGUCCACGCCGUAAACGAUGUCGACUUGGAGGUUGUGCCCUUGAGGCGUGGCUUCCGGAGCUAACGCGUUAAGUCGACCGCCUGGGGAGUACGGCCGCAAGGUUAAAACUCAAAUGAAUUGACGGGGGCCCGCACAAGCGGUGGAGCAUGUGGUUUAAUUCGAUGCAACGCGAAGAACCUUACCUGGUCUUGACAUCCACGGAAGUUUUCAGAGAUGAGAAUGUGCCUUCGGGAACCGUGAGACAGGUGCUGCAUGGCUGUCGUCAGCUCGUGUUGUGAAAUGUUGGGUUAAGUCCCGCAACGAGCGCAACCCUUAUCCUUUGUUGCCAGCGGUCCGGCCGGGAACUCAAAGGAGACUGCCAGUGAUAAACAGGAGGAAGGUGGGGAUGACGUCAAGUCAUCAUGGCCCUUACGACCAGGGCUACACACGUGCUACAAUGGCGCAUACAAAGAGAAGCGACCUCGCGAGAGCAAGCGGACCUCAUAAAGUGCGUCGUAGUCCGGAUUGGAGUCUGCAACUCGACUCCAUGAAGUCGGAAUCGCUAGUAAUCGUGGAUCAGAAUGCCACGGUGAAUACGUUCCCGGGCCUUGUACACACCGCCCGUCACACCAUGGGAGUGGGUUGCAAAAGAAGUAGGUAGCUUAACCUUCGGGAGGGCGCUUACCACUUUGUGAUUCAUGACUGGGGUGAAGUCGUAACAAGGUAACC
rnacentral:rRNA from 1 species